UACGUAGGGGGCAAGCGCUAUCCGGAUUUACUGGGUGUAAAGGGAGCGUAGGUGGUUUGGUAAGUCAGAAGUGAAAGACCAGGGCUCAACCCUGGGACUGCUUUUGAAACUAUCAAACUAGAGUGCAGGAGAGGUAAGUGGAAUUCCUAGUGUAGCGGUGAAAUGCGUAGAUAUUAGGAGGAACACUAGUGGCGAAGGCGACUUACUGGACUGUAACUGACACUGGGGCUCGAAAGCGUGGGGAGCAAACAGG
rnacentral:rRNA from 1 species